rnacentral:rRNA from 1 species
AUUGAACGCUGGCGGCAGGCUUAACAUAUGCAAGUCGAGCGGAGAUGAGGUGCUUGCACCUUAUCUUAGCGGCGGACGGGUGAGUAAUGCUUAGGAAUCUGCCUAUUAGUGGGGGACAACAUUCCGAAAGGAAUGCUAAUACCGCAUACGUCCUACGGGAGAAAGCAGGGGAUCUUCGGACCUUGCGCUAAUAGAUGAGCCUAAGUCGGAUUAGCUAGUUGGUGGGGUAAAGGCCUACCAAGGCGACGAUCUGUAGCGGGUCUGAGAGGAUGAUCUGCAACACUGGGACUGGGACACGGCCCAGACUCCUACGGGAGGCAGCAGUGGGGAAUAUUGGACAAUGGGGGGAACCCUGAUCCAGCCAUGCCGCGUGUGUGAAUAAGGCCUUAUGGUUGUAAAGCACUUUAAGCGAGGAGGAGGCUACUGAGACUAAUACUCUUGGAUAGUGGACGUUACUCGCAGAAUAAGCACCGGCUAACUCUGUGCCAGCCGCCGCGGUAAUAC